rnacentral:rRNA from 1 species
GACGAACGCUGGCGGCGUGCUUAACACAUGCAAGUCGAACGGAAAGGCCCUGCUUUUGUGGGGUGCUCGAGUGGCGAACGGGUGAGUAACACGUGAGUAACCUGCCCUUGACUUUGGGAUAACUUCAGGAAACUGAGGCUAAUACCGGAUAGGAGCUCCUGCUGCAUGGUGGGGGUUGGAAAGUUUCGGCGGUUGGGGAUGGACUCGCGGCUUAUCAGCUUGUUGGUGGGGUAGUGGCUUACCAAGGCUUUGACGGGUAGUCGGCCUGAGAGGGUGACCGGCCACAUUGGGACUGAGAUACGGCCCAGACUCCUACGGGAGGCAGCAGUGGGGAAUAUUGCACAAUGGGCGGAAGCCUGAUGCAGCAACGCCGCGUGCGGGAUGACGGCCUUCGGGUUGUAAACCGCUUUCGCCUGUGACGAAGCGUGAGUGACGGUAAUGGGUAAAGAAGCACCGGCUAACUACGUG